rnacentral:rRNA from 1 species
CCUACGGGAGGCAGCAGUAGGGAAUAUUGCUCAAUGGGGGAAACCCUGAAGCAGCAACGCCGCGUGGAGGAUGAAGGUUCUUGGAUUGUAAACUCCUUUUGUUAGAGAAGAUAAUGACGGUAUUCAACGAAUAAGCACCGGCUAACUCCGUGCCAGCAGCCGCGGUAAUACGGAGGGUGCAAGCGUUAUCCGGAAUCACUGGGCGUAAAGAGCGCGUAGGCGGGAUAGCAAGUCAGAUGUGAAAUGCUAUGGCUUAACCAGAGAACUGCAUUUGAAACUGUUAUUCUAGAGUAUGGGAGAGGUAGGUGGAAUUCUUGGUGUAGGAGUAAAAUCCGUAGAGAUCGAGAGGAAUACUCAUUGCGAAGGCGACCUGCUGGAACAUAACUGACGCUGAGGCGCGAAAGCGUGGGGAGCGAACAGGAUUAGAUACCCCAGUAGUC